rnacentral:lncRNA from 1 species
AAAAAGUGUCUUAUUAGGAAUUUUUUUAAUCUGACUUCUCAAUGUGGCCGUUUAUGGAAAUUGUCUUUCUAGGCCGGGCGUCAAUAAAAACUGUAGUACCGAAGCAAAACUGUAGGAGCGGUCAAAACCAUGCUUCUAGACUGGAACCCUGGCCCCUUGGCUGCCACCGAGUGGAGUGUCCGGGCGGAAUAGGGUCCUUGGAUAGUAUCCAGGAGGAAUAGCGUCCUUGGGUAGUAUCCAGGAGGAAUAGCGUCCUUGGCUAGUAUCCGGGCGGAAUAGGGUCCUUGGCUAGUAUCCGGGCGGAAUAGGGUCCUUGGCUAGUAUCCAGGAGUAAUAGGGUCCUUGGCUAGUAUCCAGGAGGAAUAGGGUCCUUGGCUAGUAUCCGGGAGGAAUAGGGUCCUUGGCUAGUAUCUGGACGGAAUAGGGUCCUUGGCUAGUAUCCAGGAGGAAUAGGGUCCUUGGCUAGUAUCCGGGCGGAAUAGGGUCCUUGGCUAGUAUCCAGGAGGAAUAGGGUCCUUGGCUAGUAUCCGGGAGGAAUAGGGUCCUUGGCUAGUAUCCGGGCGGAAUAGGGUCCUUGGCUAGUAUCCGGGAGGAAUAGGGUCCUUGGCUAGAAUCCAGCAGGAAUAGGGUCCUUGGCUAGUAUCCGGGCGGACUAAG